CAGUCGCCGCGGGAAUACGUAGGUCCCGAGCGUUGUCCGGAAUUAUUGGGCGUAAAGCGCGCGCAGGCGGAUAGGUCAGUCUGUCUUAAAAGUUCGGGGCUUAACCCCGUGAUGGGAUGGAAACUGCCAAUCUAGAGUAUCGGAGAGGAAAGUGGAAUUCCUAGUGUAGCGGUGAAAUGCGUAGAUAUUAGGAAGAACACCAGUGGCGAAGGCGACUUUCUGGACGAAAACUGACGCUGAGGCGCGAAAGCCAGGGGAGCGAACGGGAUUAGAUACCCCAGUAGUCCCUGUCUCUUAUACA
rnacentral:rRNA from 1 species